rnacentral:rRNA from 1 species
GGGACAACCCGCCGAAAGGCGGGCUAAACCCGCGUACAUGCCACCGGGGCAUCCCGGAGGCAGGAAAGGCUUCGGCCGGACAGGGAUGGGCAUGCGGCGCAUUAGGCAGUAGGCGGGGUAACGGCCCACCUAACCGACGAUGCGUAGGGGUUCUGAGAGGAAGGUCCCCCACACUGGUACUGAGACACGGACCAGACUCCUACGGGAGGCAGCAGUGAGGAAUAUUGGUCAAUGGUCGGGAGACUGAACCAGCCAAGCCGCGUGAGGGAGGAAGGUACAGAGUAUCGUAAACCUCUUUUGUCAGGGAACAAAGACUGGGACGCGUCCCCGGAUGAGUGUACCUGAAGAAAAAGCAUCGGCUAACUCCGUGCCAGCAGCCGCGGUAAUACGGAGGAUGCGAGCGUUAUCCGGAUUUAUUGGGUUUAAAGGGUGCGCAGGCGGUCUGUUAAGUCAGCGGUCAAAGCCCGGGGCUCAACCCCGGCCCGCCGUUGAAACUGGCAGUCUCGAGUUGGAGAGAAGUAUGCGGAAUGCGCGGUGUAGCGGUGAAAUGCAUAGAUAUCGCGCAGAACUCCGAUUGCGAAGGCAGCAUGCCGGCUCUACACUGACGCUGAGGCACGAAAGCGUGGGUAUCGAACAGGAUUAGAUACCCUGGUAGUCCACGCAGUAAAC